rnacentral:rRNA from 2 species
UUUUGUAUAAUGGGUCAGCGACUUAUAUUCUGUAGCAAGGUUAACCGUAUAGGGGAGCCGAAGGGAAACCGAGUCUUAACUGGGCGUUAAGUUGCAGGGUAUAGACCCGAAACCCGGUGAUCUAGCCAUGGGCAGGUUGAAGGUUGGGUAACACUAACUGGAGGACCGAACCGACUAAUGUUGAAAAAUUAGCGGAUGACCUGUGGCUGGGGGUGAAAGGCCAAUCAAACCGGGAGAUAGCUGGUUCUCCCCGAAAGCUAUUUAGGUAGCGCCUCGUGAACUCAUCUUCGGGGGUAGAGCACUGUUUCGGCUAGGGGGCCAUCCCGGCUUACCAACCCGAUGCAAACUACGAAUACCGAAGAAUGUUAUCACGGGAGACACACGGCGGGUGCUAACGUCCGUCGUGAAGAGGGAAACAACCCAGACCGCCAGCUAAGGUCCCAAAGUCAUGGUUAAGUGGGAAACGAUGUGGGAAGGCACAGACAGCCAGGAUGUUGGCUUAGAAGCAGCCAUCAUUUAAAGAAAGCGUAAUAGCUCACUGGUCGAGUCGGCCUGCGCGGAAGAUGUAACGGGGCUAAACCAUGCACCGAAGCUGCGGCAGCGACACUAUGUGUUGUUGGGUAGGGGAGCGUUCUGUAAGCCGUUGAAGGUGUGCUGUGAGGCAUGCUGGAGGUAUCAGAAGUGCGAAUGCUGACAUAAGUAACGAUAAAGCGGGUGAAAAGCCCGCUCGCCGGAAGACCAAGGGUUCCUGUCCAACGUUAAUCGGGGCAGGGUGAGUCGACCCCUAAGGCGAGGCCGAAAGGCGUAGUCGAUGGGAAACAGGUUAAUAUUCCUGUACUUGGUGUUACUGCGAAGGGGGGACGGAGAAGGCUAUGUCAGCCGGGCGACGGUUGUCCCGGUUUAAGCAUGUAGGCGGAGGU